rnacentral:lncRNA from 1 species
UGAGUCGGGGUGGUGAAUGUGAUGGUAUGUUAGCAUGAAUUCCAUGUACUCAGUUGUUGAGUCUUUUAAAUUACCUUGAUUAUCAAUGAUAGACGGUAGCUGAAAAACAAUGAUGGAUUGUUGUGUGUUGGGCCUGUGGAUGUAGACUUGUAGUGUUUUCCGUGGGUUUGCUCAUGUAGAUUCUGUUUGGUGUGAAAGCUGAUAAGAGAGAAGUGGUCCGUUAUUCAUGGUGUAGUAUUUUGUGUGAGGAUAAGUUGUUAUAGCUAUGUCUCAUAAAAGGUGUGUUUAAGUUUUUUUUUCCUUAAUUCUUCAACUGUUUAGUUCAAAGGUCCAUUUAUUCAGAGGACGUUAACAUUUUGAGUCAAUGGUUUGUGAUAAGUUUGUUGUUUUGUCUACGUUGAGUUGUUACUUGUUUCGAAGGCCAUGUAUAAUGAUGUAUAGUGUGUAUUGUAUGAGAGCUGGAUAAUAUUAGUUAUUUUUUGCAUUUUCAUGAUUCUCAGAAUGAGUUUUUUCUUAGUAUAAUAGAUGUAUGUUUGGAAAUAUAUUUGUUUGUUUUUGCAGACGGUAUGCCCGUGUUAGUUAUACCAAAAACUCACACACUUUUAUGUUUCACGUAGUGU